AGAGUUUGAUCCUGGCUCAGGAUGAACGCUAGCGGCAGGCCUAAUACAUGCAAGUCGAACGGUAAGUGUAGUAGCAAUAUUAUACGAGAGUGACGUACGGGUGCGUAACACGUAUGCAACCUACCCUUUACAGGAGGAUAGCUCGGGGAAACUCGAAUUAACCCUCCAUGAUAUAAUGAUGUGGCAUCACGUUAUUAUUAAAACUCUGGUGGUAAAGGAUGGGCAUGCGUCUGAUUAGUUAGUUGGUAGUGUAACGGACUACCAAGGCAACGAUCAUUAGGGGAUCUGAGAGGACUACCCCCCACACUGGUACUGAGACACGGACCAGACUCCUACGGGAGGCAGCAGUAAGGAAUAUUGGUCAAUGGAGGCAACUCUGAACCAGCCAUGCCGCGUGCAGGAUGACGGCCCUAUGGGUUGUAAACUGCUUUUAUACGGGAGAAAACCCCGGUACGUGUACCGGGUUGAUAGUACUGUAAGAAUAAGGAUCGGCUAACUUCGUGCCAGCAGCCGCGGUAAGACGAAGGAUCCAAGCGUUAUCCGGAUUCAUUGGGUUUAAAGGGUGCGUAGGCGGGUUUGUAAGUCAGUGGUGAAAUCCUAUCGCUUAACGAUGGAACUGCCAUUGAUACUGCGGACCUAGAGUACAGAUGAUGUUGGCGGAAUAUGACAUGUAGCGGUGAAAUGCAUAGAUAUGUCAUAGAACACCGAUUGCGAAGGCAGCUGACAAAACUGUAACUGACGCUGAUGCACGAAAGUGCGGGGAUCAAACAGGAUUAGAUACCCUGGUAGUCC
rnacentral:rRNA from 1 species